AUGAGCAUAGAGGGAAAUCAAGUUCUCCAAUAAAGAAUCCCCACAAACCGAUUUUUAACCUCCUACAGGAAAAUACUCAUUUCUGGAAUAUUCUCAACAUGUUCACUUGCUUGCAAAAUUUUACUAGAUAGCAAUAAAGGACCACAACAAAGCAGAUCCAUUUAAGAUUGCUCAAUCAAAUAAAGAUUAAAACAAAGAAAUUGAAGGAAACGCAAGG
rnacentral:misc_RNA from 1 species